GGCAUAUUAUUCCGUCCGAUCAUAGUCAAGUCGGUAUAUUAUUCCGUCCGAUCGUAGUCAAGUUGGUAUAUUGUUCUGUCUGACCAUAGCUGAGUCGGCAUAUUGUUCUGCUCGAUCAUAGUCAAGUUGGCAUAUGGUUCCGUCUGAUCGAAAUCGAAUUGGCAUAUUGUUUCGUCCGACCGUAGUCGAGUCGGUAUGUUAUUCCAUCCGAUCAGAGCCGAGUCAGCAUGUUGGUCCUCUUGGGAUUCAUUUCAAUCCAG
rnacentral:lncRNA from 1 species